GGGAUUGUAGCUCAAUGGUAGAGCGCUUGCCUGGCACGUGGGAGGCACUGGGUUCAAUCCUCAGCAUCACA
rfam:Ictidomys tridecemlineatus contig058445, whole genome shotgun sequence.